rnacentral:rRNA from 1 species
UACGUAGGGCGCAAGCGUUGUCCGGAAUUAUUGGGCGUAAAGAGCUCGUAGGCGGCCUGUUGCGUCCGCUGUGAAAUCCCGGGGCUCAACCCCGGGCCUGCAGUGGAUACGGGCUGGCUAGAGGCAGGCAGGGGAGAACGGAAUUCCUGGUGUAGCGGUGAAAUGCGCAGAUAUCGGGAAGAACACCCGUGGCGAAGGCGGCUCUCUGGGACGGUACUGACGCUGAGACGCGAAAGCGUGGGGAGCGAACAGG